CCAAUAGCGUAUAUUAAAGUUGUUGCAGUUAAAAAGCUCGUAGUUGAAUUUCGGGGUUAGUAGGUUGGUCAUGCCUCUGGUAUGUACUGGUCUCACUGAUUCCUCCUUCCUGAUGAACCGUAAUGCCAUUAAUUUGGUGUUGCGGGGAAUUUGGACUGUUACUUUGAAAAAAUUAGAGUGUUUAAAGCAAGCUAACGCUUGAAUACAUUAGCAUGGAAUAAUGAAAUAGGACGUUCGAUCCUAUUUUGUUGGUUUCUAGGAUUGACGUAAUGAUUAAUAGGGAUAGUGGGGGGCAUUAGUAUUCAAUUGUCAGAGGUGAAAUUCUUGGAUUUAUUGAAGACUAACUACUGCGAAAGCAUUUGCCAAGGAUGUUUUCAUUAAUCAGUGAACGAAAGUUAGAGGUUCGAAGGCGAUCAGAUACCGCCCUAGUUCUAACCAUAAACGAUGCCAACCAGCGAUUAGCCUGAGUUCCUUAAAUGACUCGGCUAGCAGCUUCCG
rnacentral:misc_RNA from 1 species